rnacentral:lncRNA from 1 species
UCCAACAGGCUUUGGAGCACACACAGGCAGGCAGGGAACAUUCACCUGCACAGCCAGCUGUGGGAAACUCUGAGCUAACAGCAGCAUCUUUUGGAGGUGUCAUCCCACUGCUGGCUGCUGCCUGGGAGCUGAGGGGAGCGGUGGAGGGGUUCCAAGCAUGGAUACCCUGCCUUGGGAAUUACCACACCAGGCACUGCACAGCACUGAUCCAGCUCUGCACUUCCAGACCCAUUUUUCACCUCUUUCACCUGGGCCCUGGUGCAGCAGAUGGGCAACACCCUACAUCCAACACCAGAAAGACUCUGUGCAGGGUGGACAACUGCACCAGAAUGCAGCUACAUGGAAGGACCAGGAAGAUUUAUCUACCCGCAUAGGUGAUGCUGGAAGAAAACAAGAGCAACAUCUGGUCCUGCCAAGCAUCUGGCCAAGGGAAUGGGCAUAAAAAUGCCAGUUUAACUUUCAUCUAGUACUGCCAAUAAAUACUGCUGUCAGACCAUAUAGUCAUCUGCCACUAACUCAGUAUUUCAAAGGUGUUUUUCUUUAUCAGAAAGGCCAUUAGAUGUCAGAAAUCAUUUCAUCAAUAGCACUGUUUGGAAGCAAGGCAAGGGCAAGUUCUUAAGGAAGCAUCUUUGUCUCAGAGGUUAAAACAGUAACAUAAAGAAAACAAAUAGUAAGUGACAUAUUAGCCAUCUCAUUCAAAAGCAUCCAAAUUAAUGUCAAUGUCAGGGAGUUAAAUUAUAGAUAUUUAUUCAUGAUGUUAUCAAAACUUCCUAUAUGCUACAAGAAACACAAAACUAAUAUUUUCUGAAAAUGUCACACAGAACUAAACUGUUCCUUCAGACAAAUGUAAUUGAAUGCCUUAUCCUAGCAACCAUCAUGCUCACUAUCAAUGUUCAUCCUUGUAGGGAAGAUCAGGUGAGACAGCAGUUUUACUGGCCUUGGUCCUACACCAGUCCCCAGGGCUCUUCCAUCAACCUGGCAUUUAUCCAAAUCCUGUCUGGGGGAGGGGGGCCUCUAGUUCAGUAUUUCCUUUGAAACUCUCACAUUUGGAUGUCCUCAUUUUAGCUCUCAGAGCUGAGGAGUACAAGAGACAAGGGAGGCCGGUGGCAUAACCUCUGUCACCUCUGUUAGACACUGUCACCACCAUUGUCUCAAAG